GGCACGACACCGGAGAGGGAGCCUGAGAAACGGCUACCACAUCCAGGAUGGCAGCAGGCGCGCAAAUUACCCAAUCCCGACACGGGGAGGUAGUGACAAUAAAUAACAAUACGGGGUUCUUUAGGAUCUCGUAAUUGGAAUGAGUACAAUUUAAAUCUCUUAACGAGGAACAAUUGGAGGGCAAGUCUGGUGCCAGCAGCCGCGGUAAUUCCAGCUCCAAUAGCGUAUAUUAAAGUUGUUGCAGUUAAAAAGCUCGUAGUUGAAUUUCGGGGUUAGUAGGUUGGUCAUGCCUCUGGUAUGUACUGGUCUCACUGAUUCCUCCUUCCUGAUGAGCCGUAAUGCCAUUAAUUUGGUGUUGCGGGGAAUUUGGACUGUUACUUUGAAAAAAUUAGAGUGUUUAAAGCAAGCUAACGCUUGAAUACAUUAGCAUGGAAUAAUGAAAUAGGACGUUCGAUCCUAUUUUGUUGGUUUCUAGGAUUGACGUAAUGAUUAAUAGGGAUAGUUGGGGGCAUUAGUAUUCAAUUGUCAGAGGUGAAAUUCUUGGAUUUAUUGAAGACUAACUACUGCGAAAGCAUUUGCCAAGGAUGUUUUCAUUAAUCAAGANCGAAAGUUAGGGGAUCGAAGACGAUCAGAUACCGUCGUAGUCUUAACCAUAAACUAUGCCGACUANGGAUCGGAUGAUGUUAAUUUUUUAAUGACUCANUCGGCGCCUUACGGGAAACCAAUGU
rnacentral:rRNA from 1 species